rnacentral:rRNA from 1 species
GAUUUCUGCCUGUCUCGUGGGCUCGGAGAUGUGUAUAAGAGACAGACCAGGAUGUUGGCUUAGAAGCAGCCACACAUUAAAAGAGUGCGUAAUAGCUCACUGGUCGAGUGACUCUGCGCGGAAAAUGUAACGGGGCUAAGCAUGCAACCGAAGCUUAGGAUUGUCUAAAGACAGUGGUAGGGGAGCGUUCUGUAUGGGGUGAAGUCGCAGCGAGAGCAGCGGUGGACUGUACAGAAGUGAGAAUGCCGGAAUGAGUAGCGAGAAUUAUGUGGGAAUCAUAAUGGCCGAAAAUCUAAGGUUUCUUGGGGAAGGUUCGUCCGCCCAAGGUAAGUCGGGAGCUAAGCUCAGGCCGAGAGGCGUAGGCGAUGCACAUACGGUAGAAAUUCCGUAACCACCGAAACUUAAACAGAGGGACACUUCGAAAUAGCGGAACCCGGGCGUUGGUUGACCCGGGCGUAAGGGAGCGAAAUUAGAGUAGCGAAGUCCGCGAUGUUCGGAGGCGAGAAAAGCUCUGAGGUAUGCUAAGGUGCCCGUACCGCAAACCGACACAGGUAGAUGAGGAGAGAAUCCUAAGGCCAACGGGAGAAGGGUUGUUAAGGAACUCGGCAAAUUGACCCCGUAACUUCGGGAGAAGGGGUGCUCCAGAGAUGGAGCCGCAGAGAAUCGGCCCAAGCAACUGUUUACCAAAAACACAGGUUUGUGCUAAAUCGAAAGAUGACGUAUACGAGCUGACGCCUGCCCGGUGCUGGAAGGUUAAGAGGAGAUGUGCAAGCAUUGAAUCGAAGCCCCAGUGAACGGCGGCCGUAACUAUAACGGUCCUAAGGUAGCGAAAUUCCUUGUCAGGUAAGUUCUGACCCGCAUGAAAGGCGUAAUGAUUUGGGCACUGUCUCAACAGCCCGCCCGGCGAAAUUGUAGUACCGGUGAAGAUGCCGGUUACCCGCGACAAGACGGAAAGACCCCAUGGAGCUUUACUGUAGCCUAAUAUUGGGUUUCGAUGUUGCAUGCACAGGAUAGAUGGGACACAGGGAAACAAGUGCUUUGGCAUUUGUGGAGUGGCCGUUGGGAUACCAUCCUUGCGAUAUUGGAAUUCUAACCUGCGCCUUUGAAUCAAGGCGGGGGACAUUGUUAGGUGGGCAGUUUGACUGGGGCGGUCGCCUCCUAAAGAGUAACGGAGGCGUUCAAAGGUUCGCUCAGCUUGAACGGAAAUCAAGCAAAAGAGUGCAAACGCAGAAGCGAGCCUAACUGCGAGACUGACGGGUCGAGCAGUAACGAAAGUUGGAGUUAGUGAUCCGGUGGUAUGUGAGUGGAAAUGCCAUCGCUCAACGGAUAAAAGUUACCCUGGGGAUAACAGGCUGAUCUCCCCCAAGAGUCCACAUCGACGGGGAGGUUUGGCACCUCGAUGUCGGCUCA